UAACGCGAAGAACCUUACCAGGUCUUGACAUCCUUUGAAGCUUUUAGAGAUAGAAGUGUUCUCUUCGGAGACAAAGUGACAGGUGGUGCAUGGUCGUCGUCAGCUCGUGUCGUGAGAUGUUGGGUUAACUCCCACAACGAGCGCAACCCUUAUUGUUAGUUGCCAGCAUUCAGAUGGGCACUCUAGCGAGACUGCCGGUGACAAACCGGAGGAAGGCGGGGACGACGUCAGAUCAUCAUGCCCCUUAUGACCUGGGCUACACACGUGCUACAAUGGCGUAUACAACGAGUUGCCAGCCCGCGAGGGUGAGCUAAUCUCUUAAAGUACGUCUCAGUUCGGAUUGUAGUCUGCAACUCGACUACAUGAAGUCGGAAUCGCUAGUAAUCGCGGAUCAGC
rnacentral:rRNA from 1 species